UCGCAAAACUCCAGAUCCUCUCUCUCUCUCUCUCUCUCUCGCUCUACGACUCAAGAACAUCAUGCCAGAUCUCUCAUCAGAUGCCGUUUCAUGACAAGAUCGUUGAAGGUCUGCAACCUUUGUUCUAGGAAUCUUGAAAAUCUUUCGUUAUUACAAUUUUCUGUAAUCAUUGUGACCACUACCGGUUGUAAUGCAGUGGUUCCGAGACCUGAGCUCUGGUGGAGGAGACUAGGGUUUCGACGAAGAUAAAGCCAUCGGAGGCUGAACCACCGGUGCAGGUAUCAUCUUCAUCAUCUAAACUAUCAUUGUUGGGAACAUGGAUGCCGUUUAUUGUUUACAAUUAGAUCCAUCGGCAGCUAUUGAACCAUCUUUCUUCAAGGUGAGAACAAGUUUAUCCUAUAACUUCUUAUUUUUGUUCCACCAAACAUUCUAUUUUUGUUCCAGCAAACAUUCUUAUACUUGUAAAUUGGAGGUUGAAAACCCAAUUAAUUUAGAUGUACGAUAGAUUACGGGUCGGAACGGUUGCAGGCGGAACAUAUCCAGCAAUUGGAGUGGAUACAACCUGGUUAAGAAACAGGGCUCGAAGGCGGUAUACCUUCCAUAAAAUGGUCUGGUGUAGAUGGAGAGGAUAAUGUUUUAAUUAUUGAUUUGCUAGGACCGAGUCUUGAGGACCUGUUUGUGUACUGUGGGAGGAAAUUUCAAUUGAAAACAGUCUUGAUGUUGGCUGAUUAAAGGAAUUUCGAAUAUGUACCCUACAAGAGUAAGAAUUUGAAGACUCGAGCCAUUAAUGCUGAAAGACCAUUGAUGGGGAAUGAAAUGUAAAGAAGCACUUACAAAUUUUGGCUUUGAUACUGCCUAUAAGAGAAGCACAAUGCUACGUGUAGCAGCCAAGCUCUCAAGACGUGCUCUUUCUUCGAUUUGAAGUCAUUCCGGUACUUAUCAGUCGACGUUUCCUUUAAAUCAGUCAUUAUUCACCAGUUCUGUGCAAAGAGCACCCAGAGUAGGGCAUUGCGUGUCAGGUGACAUUCUUAAAUCGGUUUCGCAUGGCUCCACACGUUUUCAAGCUUUGCAUCGGGAUUCUCUCCGUUGAAGCACAAGCCAUUGGCUUUUUGAACAUUGUACGAACUUUUCUGUUAAUUUUUUUUGAUUGAUUGAUUUUGCGUGUGCGUAAUUUAGGGAAUGUAUGUAGAUUCCAUGAGGUUGUUGGGGCUGUGGGUAUAGGGUGUAUGUCCCCAUUUCCAGCUAUCUCAGGUAUUUUACUGUCACGUCGACGGUAUUAUAUGUGCAAACUAUUGAUUUGUCUCCGCUUUUAGAAUUCCGGCGACUUUUGGAGGCACAGAUGGUGAUUUUAAGCUGUUUGGGGUUCUAGACACUUGACAAACCCUAAGGUAAGAUUUUGAGUUUUCAUCACUCAUUGCGAGUUUAGUUUAUGUUAGUAAUUGUGUUUUGUGUUUGCUGUGAAGAAACCUUUCUAAGUGGCUGUGAGUUGAGUCGUGUAAUAAGUAGCCCUCAAAAUUUUCAAGGACACAUCUAUCCUCCAUGGGAACAAGCUUGCAGACAACUAAUACAUCUUCUGGAAGAAGCACUAGAGUAAAGUGGAAAUGAUAUUGGUCAUGUCAAUAAGAGUCUCAACCAGCUUUUUCUAUUCAAAUCAAAGACAACUACACCUCAGGUAUGAUUUUGGUAACCCAUUCUAGGGUUUCGAUGGGAUUCCGGCAAUGGCAGAACAGACCACCACUAGCAAGCCAACGAAGACGUGUUCAGGCAAGGUUACGACCACUAGAAAAUGUUUCGUGUUAGGGUUUUCGAUGGACAGAAAGGAGCUGCUUGGAGAUGGGUCAAAGUCCAGUCAACUGAGUCACACUGAACCAGAGAGUCACCUUUCAAGUAUUUGCUACCUAACAUGGGUCGUAUAUCACCAAUGUCCUCACUAACAAGAUCAACCGUCGUGAAAUUGUUUGAAGCUAGCAAGUAGCCAGUGAUUACUGUCAGUUCUUUUUUCACUUUUAGCCAUUCAACUUUAUAGUCAUAGUUACUAAAGGUGUGAGGCGCACUCAUGGCGUUUUGUUGGGCCAUGGGCCUUAUUUGCGCCUGGGGGCUCUCUUUAAUAACUAUAUUGGCAUACAUGAACUAACCUGAAAAUAAUUUAAAUUUAUGAGGGUGGCGAUAUAGUAGUUUUUGUAUGGGUUGAAAUGGGUUGAAAUGGGUUGAAUGGGCUGACCCAAAACAGUUUGUAUGUAUUUUGGGGGUUAAAUAUAGUAGUUUUUGUAUGGGUUGAAUGGGCUGACCCAAAACAGUUCCUGUAUAAAUCCGUUUUUCAUAUUUGAAGUAGUUAGGGUCUUAAAUAUGAUCACAAAAACUAGAAUGUGUACUUUAUUUUGUAAGUAUCUGGGUGGUUUCAAAUGGGUAGUUUUUUUAUGCAUUGAAACUGGCGAGUGGCAUAAUCUGAACCAAACAUUUCUGAAACGAAGCUUUCACUAGAUGCUGAGAUAGUUUCAGAAGUGAUAAAGCGUCGUAUUCAACAACACUUACAUCAUGUUUAUAAUUUCAAGAAUAUUCCAUGGGAAUUAAUGAAUCGCGAACACAUUCUGUUAGUUUAGGCAAUUUGCCUCUCGCUUGGCCAUAUGCACAUGAUGGUAACCUGAUUAUGUUUCAAAUACAUUUAGUUUACUUUUUGUGGUUAUUAUUAGCUUAUUAUUUAUGUUGCAGAUUUUAUCCACAAAUUAUAUUUGUUUGAUAGUUUGAUACAGAAAGGUAAUAAUUUCUAACAUAGAAAGUAUUUGAGGUAAAAGCACAACCCAAAGUUCAUUUGACCCGGGGGCACUGCUAAUCGGUUCGAUGUCAAAGGCUGCCGAGAGCUGGAUACAUCAUGUGUGGAAGCACAUCUUUCUACAUGACCAUGAUACCCUCCAAAAGCAUAAAACCAUAGUUCUGUGUCUAUACAGCAAGUCUUUCAAGGCUGAGGUAUUCUUGAGCUGUCUGCACAUCCUUGGGCAAAGCUGGAUAUACCAGGUGCUGGGUUUUAUAUUGCUUUUGAUGUCCGUGCUGGAUUAUGUCUGGAAGUGUGAUAGAAUAAUUCUGUGGUUAUUGAAUCUGGCUCUGAUCAUUUUCUUGCUAUCUGGGAGUGUCAAGUGCUCAGUGUAUGAGACUGCGAUGCAUAUGACCAAGCUUCGAGUUACAGGUACAGGUUUUGCAUGAUAACAGAUCAUACAAACUGCAUACAUAGGUGGUCAAAGUAUGGGAUACAUUGUUAAGGCCCUGGUUGGGGUAUCUGGCCGAUGUCUAUGGGCUUCCUUAGAGGGCUGGGCUCGAUGAAUAAGCUGAUGCUAAAGGCCCACCAAGUUCAUGAGCAUGGCUAUUGUAUAACUCAAUUUCUAAAGGCCCAAGUUCAGAUGAUUUGUAUGCAUUUUGAUCACCUGCCGAUGAAGCAAAUGACCAACAUCAGAGGUUUUGGAAGCGAAAAGCCCAAUCUCGAACCAUUUGGAGGUUACUUGGGUCCGUUUAUAGAGAUGUUUUUCGGCUUAUGAAGAUCCAUAAGCUGCAGAUUCUCCUUCAUGGCAAUCUCACUUUAGGAUGGGGAGCCAUAUGUAUGCCGUUUAAAAGCAACAGUGACAAAAACGCUUAUGACUUGCCUUGGGGCGCUAGGUACUUUUACAAUUUUUGUAAUAGUAAUAGGGUUGGUGAGUAUACUUGUAUUACUCAGAGUAAUUAUCGUUUCUUUUGUACCCUGAGACGGGAAAAACGCUUAUGACCUGUUUUGUAAUGAUGUUUUUAUGGUCACUGAAGGGAAAGUUAAUAAAUAGUUUAACUAUAUAAAA